AGCCCUUGGAUAGGACUGAUCACCCUGUCCAGGAAUCUGUGUCCCCAUGGCUGAAUAGUACGAAUAGUCAUACGAAUAGUCACACACUGGCUAUUAUUUCACCGAAUAGUGAGCUCUCCAUCCGCACGUACAUCGGAAAAAGCAAUUGCUAUCUCCUACCUGUCAUCUUUAACUACUGCUUCACCACUGUCGUUUUGUUGUAUAACCACUGUUGAAAUCUUACUCAGAUGUUCACAUCAAAACGCCACCCGAUGUCUUCACUGGGACUCCUGUUCUCAGCCUAGGAAAGGCAGAGAGCUUGCUGCCCUACAAAACAAAUGCCUCUUUCCCAUCAGUUUUACCAAGUUGACGAUAAGGACAGACUUCCACCUGCACAGAUGUCAAAUCCCACACUGGAUUCAGUUUAUAUUUGGGAUGUGCUUGACAGAAGGCAAUAGAGGACCGACUUACUGAACCCACGGAGUCCUAACAACUCCGGGGGACCUAUUUACCGAACCCACGGAGCAUCAACCACUCCGGGGGCCAAACGGCCUCUAGCCUCUCCCCGUCACCGAGCACGAUCCUACACGUAUCCCUUUCCUUU